rnacentral:lncRNA from 1 species
UUUUUUUAGAAUUAUACAAGGACUACAACAUGAGAAAGCGCCUAAAAUGAUUUGUGAGUUGGUUAGUGCAGUGAAUACAACAUAUGAAGAAGUAAGUCGGGGAGGAGAGUCUGCAACAUGCCGGUUGGGUCAUCGAACUUCAAUUUUUUUGCUGAAAAAUUGCUUGACUAAUGUAUUACCAUGCGUUUCUUCACCCUCUCCGGAGUAUCCUCCACGAUUUCAAAGAUAUCUAGAUAAUUUUUGAUUAUAUAUACGCGUAAUUCAGUAACCGGAGAUAACAAGGAUGGAGAAGAUACAAUUUCGGAGUCAGAAUCGGAAAUCUGGGCUGAAUCAUUUAUCAUCUGGGAUUCCAUCGGGUAUAUUGAAUCGAUAAUAUAAAAGGAGAGAUGAAGUAUGGUUUCUAGGGUUCAUGAGGAAAAGUGAUGGAGCGAGCUUAAAGAACGUGCGAGAGAGAGUAGAGAGUAUACGUGGUCUGGGUUAAGCGUGAAUAAAGUAAUUGUUUAAUUAAGUUAAUUAAACUUGAUUAACUUGUACUAAUGAAAGUAUUUG